rnacentral:rRNA from 1 species
UACGUAGGGGGCAAGCGUUGUCCGGAUUUAUUGGGCGUAAAGCGCGUGUAGGCGGCUUUGCAAGUCGGAUGUGAAAGCCCACGGCUCAACCGUGGAAGUGCAUCCGAAACUGCAUGGCUGGAGUCUCGGAGAGGAAGGUGGAAUGCUUGGUGUAGAGGUGAAAUUCGUAGAUAUCAAGCAGAACACCUGCGGCGAAGGCGGCCUUCUGGACGAUGACUGACGCUGAGACGCGAAAGCGUGGGGAGCAAACAGG